GGGCUGAAAGUUAAAUGGUAGUAGGUAGAAGGGUAACUGUAAUAGUAUAUGUUUAGUGCAACAAAUUCUCAGUCGACGAAAAGUAAAAGACGACUACAACCUUCGCCGGCGCCGGAAUUUAGAUUGAACUGAGAACUUAACGGCCGCAAGUGAGGAAGAUGGUGAAGGCAAUCAUAGCACCGUCGAUGCUGUCAUCGGACUUUGCUAAUUUGGCCUCUGAAGCAGAGCGCAUGCUCAAUUGCGGUGCGGAUUGGCUCCAUAUGGACAUCAUGGACGGUCACUUUGUCCCAAACCUUACCCUCGGUGCUCCAAUUAUCGAGAGUCUGAGAAAGCAUACAAAGGCAUAUCUGGACUGCCACCUAAUGGUCACCAACCCCCUCGAUUAUGUGGAACCGCUUGGCAAAGCUGGUGCCUCAGGCUUUACGUUCCAUAUUGAGGCAUCUAGAGAUAAUUGGCAAGAGCUUGUUCAACGGAUAAAGUCUAAGGGCAUGAAACCUGGGGUUUCUUUGAAGCCUGGUACACCAAUUGAAGAAGUGUACCCACUGCUUGAUGGUGAAAAUGCUAUCGAACUGGUCCUUGUUAUGACUGUUGAGCCUGGUUUUGGUGGACAAAAGUUUAUGCCAGAGAUGAUGGAUAAGGUACACACUCUCAGAAAAAAGUAUCCAUCACUUGAUAUAGAGGUGGAUGGUGGUCUAGGACCUUCAACCAUUGAGGCAGCAACAUCAGCUGGAGCAAACUGCAUAGUUGCAGGAAGUUCAGUAUUUGGAGCUCCAGAUCCAGCACAAGUCAUAACUUUGCUGCGAGGCAGUGUGGAGGAAGCUCAGAAAAGGAGUUGAUUCCAGAAGAGGCAAGAUCUCGUGUUGUAUUUUAACAACUAUUACCUUAUUUAUAAUUUCCGCGGAAUCAAUAUCUCCAGAUGCCUGCACUUGUUGAGUUAUCCAAGUUCUAUUCGUUGAAUAAGGUUAAAACAUGUAUUUAUCAUAUCAUCUUGAAACUUCAACACAUAUUGAGUUAUCUAAGUUGUAUUUUUGAAUAAUGUGAAAUAUCUGGUGCUGGAUUUAGUUGAAGUCCAUGAGACUGGAUGUCACGUUUCCAAAAUUUAAACUAAGAAAUGUUGCUGUUAUGUUUUACUCGAUUGAACAUAUAAACAU
rnacentral:misc_RNA from 1 species